rnacentral:rRNA from 1 species
AGCAGCCGCGGUAAUUCCAGCUCCAAUAGCGUAUAUUAAAGUUGUUGCAGUUAAGAAGCUCGUAGUUGAAUUUCGGGAUCAAUUUAUUGGUCGUGCAAUAGUACGUACUGGUAUUAUUGGUUCCUACCUUCUGAUGAACCAUGAUGUCAUUAAUUUGGUGUUAUGGGGAAUCAGGACUGUUACUUUGAAAAAUUAGAGUGUUUAAAGCAGGCUCACGCUUGAAUACAUUAGCAUGGAAUAAUGAAAUAGGACGUUUGAUUCUAUUUUGUUGGUUUCUAGGAUCGACGUAAUGAUUAAUAGGGAUAGUUGGGGGCAUUAGUAUUCAAUUGUCAGAGGUGAAAUUCUUGGAUUUAUUGAAGACUAACUACUGCGAAAGCAUUUGCCAAGGAUGUUUUCAUUAAUCAAGAACGAAAGUUAGGGAUCGAAGACGAUCAGAUACCGUCGUAGUCU